CUAGUACAUGCCACAACUAAAACUACAUCACUUUCAUACUUUUGUAGGUUUCGUUGAUAGUGUGGUGUCUCGGAUUGAGCUAGGCUUCAAGUCUCCUCAAAUCAACAAUCUAUGUGCAUAAACAAUAGCGCGUAAGCAAAUAAUGUUUAGUAAGUUCAAAUGGAAUUCACUAUAUUACCUUGUUGGAGGUGAGCAUACCAAAUGCCAUAAGAACAUAAAUACUUACUACAACAUUCUCAACUACAUCACAUAAGGAAAAUUAAGCUUAAGAAUUUAUAAUC
rnacentral:lncRNA from 1 species